rnacentral:lncRNA from 1 species
GCGAUGAAGGGGUACCAUGUGUGUAUUAAAAUCAUCCUCGUCUCUCUCUCUCUCUCUCCAGCAAAAGCUUUCUCUUCCUUGGUCAGCUUUCCUGAGGGCGCCUAAAGAAUUGAAGUGAUCUCCCUGGGGCACAAGCCUGGGCAGUGUGUUUGGAGAUCCUGGGCUCCUCAGAUAGCAAGACACCCGCAUCCUGUCACCCUCACUGAUGGGGUCCAAAGGAAAGCAGAACAAGAUGUUUGGCCCCAGCAUGGCUUUAGGAGUUGCUGGAAGGAGGCGGACAAGGUGCCACCCAACUGUCUUAAGGACUCCACUCUGGAUUUGUGUAGGAUUUACUCCUGAGCCGAAUGGAGAAUGAAACUGAUGGACUAUGCAGAAUUAGAUAAACUAACAGGAAGGAUUCGAAACCUGCGGGACCAGAGAUUCUCAGAAGACUGGAGUAAAUUUACGGACUAUUUGAAAAGUAACUGUGAUGAACAGAUUAUGCUAGUAGGUCUGCAAGAAGUUUUGUAAGGUGAAUUAUUUGAAAUAUUGCAAAAAAGACAAUGAGGAGAAUUAUUAGUUAAAGAUAAUUAAAGGUAAUAUGAAAUUAAGAAAUGCAUAAUAAAUGAUAAGAACGAAAAAUCAUCAGGGGUGUUGACGGAAG